rnacentral:rRNA from 1 species
AUUGAACGCUGGCGGCAGGCUUAACACAUGCAAGUCGAGCGGGGUGAUGGUGCUUGCACUAUCACUUAGCGGCGGACGGGUGAGUAAUGCUUAGGAAUCUGCCUAUUAGUGGGGGACAACAUCUCGAAAGGGAUGCUAAUACCGCAUACGUCCUACGGGAGAAAGCAGGGGAUCACUUGUGACCUUGCGCUAAUAGAUGAGCCUAAGUCGGAUUAGCUAGUUGGUGGGGUAAAGGCCUACCAAGGCGACGAUCUGUAGCGGGUCUGAGAGGAUGAUCCGGCACACUGGGACUGAGACACGGCCCAGACUCCUACGGGAGGCAGCAGUGGUGAAUAUUGGACAAUGGGGGGAACCCUGAUCCAGCCAUGCCGCGUGUGUGAAGAAGGCCUUAUGGUUGUAAAGCACUUUAAGCGAGGAGGAGGCUCUUUUGGUUAAUACCCAAGAUGAGUGGACGUUACUCGCAGAAUAAGCACCGGCUAACUCUGUGCCAGCAGCCGCAGUAA